GGAGAUAUGACUCAGUGGUAAAGUGUCUGCCUAGCACACAGAAGGCCUGGGUUUGAUUCCCAGCACCA
rnacentral:tRNA from 1 species